UCUCGUUUCCUCGUUGUGCAAAAGGCACACACAGAGCAGGAGAAACAGACUGGCUGCCUGCAGAAGGGACACAAUGAGACUACUAGUAUAUAAAGUACUAAAAUACAUAAAGUAAAAAUAGUGCAGAGUCUUUCCUCUUAUUUGUCUCAUCAGUUUCAGGAAUCUUCAGUGUUACUUGUAACAAGAAUAGAUACAAAAAUCCAGCCAUAAAUGUGAUUUUUAAUCUGCUGUUUAACACCUUGGAUGCACAUCUUCAAGGGCCCUUAAAGCUGCUUCUUCAGCUUCCAACCUAGGCUCUUAAGGGGGAGCGAGAGAGACAGGACUGCUGGCUGGACUAACCCCAACAUGCUGCAGCAGGAAGCAAGAGCAUGAAGUGAUGCAGGCAGCUGGCAAACUGCUGUCAAGAAUCAGGGCUAAAAGAAGCAGCUCAUGGAAGCUGCAAGUGAGAGAUCAGCCCAAAACCAACAGGUGCAGGCCAGAAUCUCAGAGCCACUUUCAGUUGACAGCAGCAGACAGAAUUGGAGACAAGGAAGGCAGGGAAACUAGGUGUAACACAGUGAGCAUAAGGGCUUCUCAUGGUACUCCAAAUGUAGAGCAGCUGAGCAGAGAAUGAACCCAGUGGACUGAAGAACCCAGGAGAGAGAACACUUAGCAGCACUCAGGAAGAUCUGAUUUAGACACGGAUCCAUCCAUAAUGCACUAACCAGGGAGUGUCACUAGGGUCGAACAGAGAAGGGGAGUGCAUGUUGUGUUCUGACUGGAGUUACCACAAACAGUUUCACUUUCAAAAGAGCUGGAGUCGGUGAGCUUACCCCACUCUUCACUAACAGGAACAGUUUGAAAUGAGAUAGAAGGCAUGACUGGGUGUGGCACAGUAACAAUAUCUUUUAUUGCAGCAGCUAGCCUGCUUAUCUUGGGGAGAAAGGAGAGUCUCAGGGGUCAAUUCGUACAGUAAUUUUUAAAGAGGGUUCCGUGAAAGCUGUUUUUAGAACAAGCAGAUGUUCCCCUGAAGCAUUUGAGACACAAACAUUCCAGUAUUAAGGACCUCUGAGUGAAAAUAACAAUUGAUUUUUAUUGUUUAUGUCUUGCAUUUCUUACAGCCAACAGAAAAGGAAAAUAGUUGCUCAGCCAACCUACAGAGGUGAAAAGUUGGUGUGAAUGAGAAUGAGUAAUACAGUGCCUGUCUUCAGAAAUCAACUUGAAGUAUCAUACAUCACAAUCUUCAGAGCCCAAGCAGCUGGCUGCACCCUUGGCUCAUCAACUUUGUUACAUUUUGAGUUAUAAAUAAUGACAAUGACAAACCUUAAAAACAACCUUAACAUGACUGACAAGCAUCACGGACAAUGAAAUGUCAGAUUUCCAUGAAGACAGAAGCCAGAACCCAUGCUCAAUUUACAUUUCCCCUGGCUGAGCAGUGCCAUUAGAGAACUCAAAGAGAAUAAUAACCCAGCUGAACCCUUGCAGAACUAGCUCUGCCACUCCGCAUUAACCACCUCUCAUUCUCACAACCACCUUCAAGUGCCUCUUCACAGAAGACUGACCCAGUAUGCCAGCUGUCUGAAGCUAGUUAUCUUGGCAGGAGGCAAAAACAGACAUAGGAGCAUCAUGCCACAGUAUAAUAUGUUACUUAUUCCCUAAAUUCAAUACUUUCUCCAUUUAAAUGGGCAUUUAUAACGCCUCUUGCAUGCAGAAACAAGACUUGUUAGAGUGUCAACAGCAUAUAAAACUGCCUAGGAGAGGGAACCCUGACAGGUACAAAUAUUAACUGUCCUUUAAAAAUAGUUAACAUUCAGCGCAGCAAAAACACUGAAGCUUUCAUAAUUGGAAUGGGUUAGAAACUCGGGCUGAUCACUAUCUAGCAAGGCGUACUGCUUCUGAAAACUGAUAUUGGACUGGGACCAGUGAUCAGUAUUAAAAUUCCACACUUAAGAUAUUGCAAGAUAAAAUCAGCAUGGAAGCCAGAAUUCUAUAAGAGCAAUGCAAGAGUUCCACAACUGAAAACAAGAUAGAGCGAUUUUAAGAUUAAAAAACAAGAUUGAAGCACAUGCCACACUUCUAUCCAGUAAAUGUCUGAAGAGAAGAGCGACAGUCAUUAAGGUGGAGGUUUUCAAAAGGCACAGAUGACAGGAACACCAACAGUGUCUUCAAUGCUGUACCAGCACUAGAGGUAUGAACCUGAAAAGCUUACACUCUAAAAAUGGCAUUGUUAUAAUAUACCAGAUUAAAUAUACCAUAUUGUAGAUACAUGUUUGAAAAAUUUUCUCCCUUAUUCCUGCUGGAAACCAGUUACAAGUCUAGUUCCAAU